GAUGAACGCUGGCUACAGGCUUAACACAUGCAAGUCGUGGGGAAACGGCAUUAUGUGCUUGCACAUUCUGGACGUCGACCGGCGCACGGGUGAGUAUCGCGUAUCCAACCUGCCCCUUACUUGGGGAUACCCCGUUGAAAGACGGCCUAAUACCCGAUGUGUUUCAUUGACGGCAUCCGAUAUGAAACAAAGGUUUUUCCGGUAAGGGAUGGGGAUGCGUCUGAUUAGCUAGUUGGCGGGGCAACGGCCCACCAAGGCGACGAUCAGUAGGGGUUCUGAGAGGAAGGUCCCCCACAUUGGAACUGAGACACGGUCCAAACUCCUACGGGAGGCAGCAGUGAGGAAUAUUGGUCAAUGGACGCAAGUCUGAACCAGCCAAGUAGCGUGCAGGAUGACGGCCCUAUGGGUUGUAAACUGCUUUUAUGUGGGAAUAAAGUGGUGCACGUGUGCGCCAUUGCAUGUACCUCAUGAAUAAGGACCGGCUAAUUCCGUGCCAGCAGCCGCGGUAAUACGGAAGGUCCGGGCGUUAUCCGGAUUUAUUGGGUUUAAAGGGAGUGUAGGCGGUCUGUUAAGCGUGUUGUGAAAUUUAGGUGCUCAACAUUUAACUUGCAGCGCGAACUGUCAGACUUGAGUACACGCAGCGCAGGCGGAAUUCAUGGUGUAGCGGUGAAAUGCUUAGAUAUCAUGAGGAACUCCGAUCGCGAAGGCAGCCUGCGGGAGUGUUACUGACGCUUAAGCUCGAAGGUGCGGGUAUCGAACAGG
rnacentral:rRNA from 1 species